rnacentral:rRNA from 1 species
AGAACGAACGCUGGCGGCAGGCCUAAAACAUGCAAGUCGAGCGCCCAGCAAUGGGAGCGGCGGACGGGUGAGUAACACGUGGGAACGUACCUUUCGGUUCGGAACAACUCAGGGAAACUUGAGCUAAUGCCGAAUUCGCCCUAACGGGGAAAGAUUUAUCGCCGAAAGAUCGGCCCGCGUAAGAUUAGCUAGUUGGUGAGGUAACGGCCCACCAAGGCGACGAUCUUUAGCUGGUUUGAGAGAACGACCAGCCACACUGGGACUGAGACACGGCCCAGACUCCUACGGGAGGCAGCAGUUAGGAAUCUUGGACAAUGGGGGAAACCCUGAUCCAGCCAUGCCGCGUGAGUGAUGAAGGCCUUCGGGUUGUAAAACUCUUUCGACGGGGACGAUAAUGACUGUACCCGUAGAAGAAGCUCCGGCUAACUUCGCGCCAGCAGCCGC